rnacentral:rRNA from 1 species
UUUGUGGAGAGUAUGAUACCGGCUCAGGACGAACGCUGGCGGCGUGGAUAAGGCAUGCAAGCCGAACGAGAAAUCGAGCUUCGGUUCGAUGGAAAGUGGCGAACGGGUGAGUAACGCGUGGGUAAUUUGCCUCUGAGAUGGGGAUAACAGUCUGAAAAGACUGCUAAUACCAAAUACGAUUCGGUUGACUUCGGUCGGCCGAAUGAAAGGUGGCUUCGGCUGCCGCUCGGAGAUAAGCCCGCGUCCU